rnacentral:rRNA from 1 species
ACGCUAGCUACAGGCUUAACACAUGCAAGUCGAGGGGCAGCAUGACGAUAGCUUGCUAUUGUUGAUGGCGACCGGCGCACGGGUGAGUAACGCGUAUCCAACCUGCCCUUGUCCAUCGGAUAACCCGUCGAAAGGCGGCCUAACACGAUAUGCAGUUCUCUGCAGGCAUCUAACGAGAACGAAAUGUGAAGGAGAAGGAUGGGGAUGCGUCUGAUUAGCUUGUUGGCGGGGUAACGGCCCACCAAGGCGACGAUCAGUAGGGGUUCUGAGAGGAAGGUCCCCCACAUUGGAACUGAGACACGGUCCAAACUCCUACGGGAGGCAGCAGUGAGGAAUAUUGGUCAAUGGGCGAGAGCCUGAACCAGCCAAGUAGCGUGCAGGAUGACGGCCCUAUGGGUUGUAAACUGCUUUUAUGCGGGGAUAAAGUGAGCCACGUGUGGCUUAUUGCAGGUACCGCAUGAAUAAGGACCGGCUAAUUCCGUGCCAGCAGCCGCGGUAAUACGGAAGGUCCGGGCGUUAUCCGGAUUUAUUGGGUUUAAAGGGAGCGUAGGCCGUCUGGUAAGCGUGUUGUGAAAUGUCGGGGCUCAACCUGGGCAUUGCAGCGCGAACUGUCAGACUUGAGUGCGCGGGAAGUAGGCGGAAUUCGUCGUGUAGCGGUGAAAUGCUUAGAUAUGACGAAGAACUCCGAUUGCGAAGGCAGCCUGCUGUAGCGCAACUGACGCUGAAGCUCGAAAGCGUGGGUAUCGAACAGG